AAUGAACGCUGGCGGCGUGCGUAACACAUGCAAGUCGAACGAGAAAUUCCGGGCUUGCUCGGGAGAGUAAAGUGGCGAACGGGUGAGUAACGCGUGGGUAACCUGCCCCUGAAUCUGGAAUAACUUCGCGAAAGUGUUGCUAAUACCGGAUAUUAUUCCGAGAACUCUGGUUCACGGAAUGAAAGGUGAUCUCUUCAUGAAAAUUGCCGUUGAGGGAGGGGCUCGCGUACCAUUAGCUUGUUGGUGGGGUAAAAGCCUACCAAGGCGACGAUGGUUAGCUGGUCUGAGAGGAUGAUCAGCCACACUGGAACUGAAACACGGUCCAGACUCCUACGGGUGGCUG
rnacentral:rRNA from 1 species